rnacentral:tRNA from 1 species
CGCUGCGCGUGGUCGGCCAGGACAACGGCAGUAGCGUCGCCGGCCACAUCGCCGCACUGCUGGCGGUGACCGUGGUGUUCUUUGCGCUGGCGCAUCGGC